ensembl:lncRNA
UCUUCAGGGUUCUUCCCUAUCCUUUCCAAUAAAACCCAAUAUUCAGUAUAUAGUUUCCAGAUCAUGACUGAGCCUAAAAUGAGAGGCAUUUAGGGCCACUGCCCCAGAUGAGAGGGCUUCCCUGGUGGCUCAGUGGUUGAUCUGGGUAAUGUAUCUCAAUUCAGAGUGAGAAAUUCUGAGACCAAGCAGGGAAAAGAUGUGUGAUGGAGGUAUUACUGAAGUGUUUCGCUGGGUAUGAGAUAAGCAAGAGGAGAAUUCCUGAGUUCUGGACCCUACUCUACCCCUAACAACCUGUGGGACUUGAGGUGAGUUGCUUAAUCAUUAGC